UAGAUGGCCCAGCAAAGACUUGUUUAACAAACAUUUGCAUUUCCAUCUCCAUGUAAAUUGUCGUCCUCCUCUCUGAAGUUCCAAACCACUGCCUCCAGCAUCCUCCUUUGUCUUAGCUGAAGAUGGUAUUUAAGGUGGCAGCUUCGGCCAUUCUGGACCCCGUGGAGGAAAGAAGUGGAGAGUCACCUGCUGAAGUGAGGAGCAAGGAACUGCUGUUUUCACCCCUGCGGGGAAGAUGUUGCCAAACUCUCUCAACAGCUGGUCAUGCAGAGCCCAACCACUGAUCUUGGCACUUUCACAAAAGACAAAUGUCUGUCAUGUUGAUACAGAUAACCACACUGUCAAAACAAAACCAGAUCCCCAUUACUGCCACCACUGGGAAACAACGUUUCACCGUGCACAAACUCAAGUCAGAACCAAAGGCAGCCAAGAAAGGGAAACAAAACAAAAACACAGGCAGAAAACUAAAAAGAGAAACUGAGUCAUCAAGAGUCACCUGCUGCUUGGGAUUCACUCUGUGAGCCAAGAAAAGAUGCACCUGGACUUGAGGAGUACAAGAAAUUGUACUUCUUGAUCAACACAAUUUAAUUGGCUGUGGCACGUAAGCGCGUUUGAGCAUCUCUGUGGAACCUCCAAAACUGCCCAAGCACAAGUUUCAAAAAAUUCAAAAACAUGACUCUCAUACAAAUGUAAAAUGAAUACAUGUCAAUGCUAUUAUUUAACUCAUUGCUUAAUGAAGGAACCAGAACGAUCAUAAGAUGGGCUCAAGAGAGAAUUUGAGAAAUCAGAUUUAUAUGUAGUCAGUUGGAUAAAAGAAUAUCAGAAUAAAUUUGCCCAUAGAUGCAAACUUGGUUAAUGCCUUACAGGGCAGCACAACUUUUUGGAAUUAUCUUUCCUGUGGAUAGAAAUCUACAAAUGUGCAUGUAACUUCACAAUGUCUA
rnacentral:lncRNA from 1 species